rnacentral:rRNA from 1 species
UACGUAGGGGGCAAGCGUUGUCCGGAUUUAUUGGGCGUAAAGAGCGUGUAGGCGGCCAGGUAGGUCAGCUGUGAAAACUCGAGGCUCAACCUCGAAACGCCGGUUGGAAACCAAUCUGGCUAGAGUCCGGAAGAGGAGAGUGGAAUUCCUGGUGUAGCGGUGAAAUGCGCAGAUAUCAGGAAGAACACCCGUGGCGAAGGCGGCUCUCUGGAACGCAACUGACGCUGAGACGCGAAAAGCGUGGGGAGC